GCAGGCUUGUAGAACUCAUCUAAAGAAUGGAAGAGAAGAUAGCCAGGAUUAGUAAUGGACUAAAUUCCACAUUGGUCAUUAUUUAGCUGACCAUCAUUGAACUUUCUUCACUAUUUAAUCCUAAGCAAGAGAUUGCAUAAAUAUGUCAUGUCAUCAUGAUUCAGCAUUUUCAGUGAGUGUGGACCUUACAAUAUCGAAUGUAAGUGGCCACGAUGACAAUGAUGGGUAGAAGAAAAUCAAGAUGACCACAGUUGAUGAUGGAUUAAUCCACUUACAUGAUCUGUGCAAUAUUUUAUGGGAAUUGUGGGUACUCUGGCAGGGUUUUUCAGGACCACAUCAGAAGCUUCCAGUGCAUGCCUACUCAGUGGCUAUUCAAUGGCAUGGAGGUAUAAUUGAAAAGGGUCAUCAGCAUCAUGGUUCAGUGAGGGGAUCCGAACCCUUGACCUUGGUGUUGUAACACAGUGCUCUACCCAACUGAGCAAACCAGACGGGCUUUUUUUCUUUUCUUUUUUGCAAUGGAAGGACUCAUUUAGAAGAAAAUCGAUCUUUGCUAAUGAUUUGAAUUCAGUUUUUAAUAAGACACUGAGGUUCUUCCUAGUAAACAUGAGAGGAUAUUACAAGACAAAUUGAAGAAGUGUGUAUGGCAAAGAAGAGCAGAGGAAGGAAGCCAGGAGGUAAGAAAGGAAGGAAAAAUAUGCAGAGUCUGGACACGAGGAGCCCCCAAAUGGAAGAAGUGGUGCAAGAGAGGGCCCCUGUACGGAAAGUGUAAGGCCGGUGGGUGUAAGGAAGGACUGCCGCGAAGCACCCAGAGCCAUAUUGCAGCAGAGGUCUUGCCAGCGGGGCAACUACACACACUUCCUAGGAAGGAGGAUUUCACAUGGUCUACACCCAGGGCCUGUGCCUGCUAGUCAUUCCAUCUAGACUGCGGGGGAACUUUCCUCUGUCUGCACUAUAGACUCACCAGCUGGUUGUUUAUCAUGACAGUGCCCAGUGCAUGCCACAAGCCUUUGCUUUCUGCUACUGUGUGGCUGCCCACCCUAGACAUCUCCUUGUGGUGUCGUUAGGGUACCUAUUAGCCUAAGGGGACCUCUUGGCAUGGUGGUGGAAUGGGAGGGAUGAGGUUGACAAAUUAAAAAUGCUUUAGAACUCCUCAAUGCUUUAGAACUGGAGCAGUGAGAGCUAGACUCCCCUGUUCUGUCUGAAGACACCAGAAGAGGUCUGGAAGGAAAUAUGACAAAUUAGUAUAGGACAUUUUGACCUCUCUGUGGGACAAAUUUUCCCAAUAUUUUUAUAUGAGAUUGUUUUGACUUUGUUUCUAUGUAUCAGCAUUUUAGUGACUAUUUAUA